UGCGAUGGGUUGCAGGGGGUUGUUGCCCUGGGUGGCCACCAGGUCGUAGUCGUCGACGAUGACGAAGAGUUCUGGGCCCUUCCACCACGA
rnacentral:tRNA from 1 species